GAUGAACGCUAGCGGCAGGCCAACACAUGCAAGUCGAGGGGUAACAUAGAAAAGCUUGCUUUUCUGAUGACGACCGGCGCACGGGUGCGUAACGCGUAUACAACCUACCUUUUAGCGGGGAAUAGCCCAGGGAAACUUGGAUUAAUGCCCCAUAGUAUAUAGACUUCUCCUGAAGUUUAUAUUAAACAUUUAUGGCUAUUAGAUGGGUAUGCGUCCUAUUAGUUAGUUGGUAAGGUAACGGCUUACCAAGGCAGCGAUAGGUAGGGGUCCUGAGAGGGAGAUCCCCACACUGGUACUGAGACACGGACCAGACUCCUACGGGAGGCAGCAGUGAGGAAUAUUGGACAAUGGGCGAGAGCCUGAUCCAGCCAUGCCGCGUGCAGGAAGACUGCCCUAUGGGUUGUAAACUGCUUUUACAGAGGAAGAACCACCCCCACGUGUGGGGGGUUUGACGGUACUCUGCGAAUAAGGAUCGGCUAACUCCGUG
rnacentral:rRNA from 1 species